rnacentral:misc_RNA from 1 species
GCAGGCAAGAUCAACCAAUAUACACCACCCCUUGUUUGUGUCACUCCACCUUCAUUUGCAUGAACCUGAAUCCCUUCCACCUGACCACAAGUGAGUUUACACGCAAUUGCAUGACUUGCUUCAUGCAAAAAUACGGUGAUGAGCUUAAAAGGUGUCAUUAGUAUUGUCCUCCAUAGCGCGAGGAUAACAAGGGAGAAGACGCCGAUGGUGACAAGGAAGACGACCUGGUCGUGCUGGCAGCAGUUCUUCAGUUCCCAAUUAGGCAUAUUUCUGUAAUUUUUGAAUCGGGAAAAUGGCUGAUAGGGACGAGAGAAAAUCUGGACAGAG